CCCAAAAGGGAGAAACGUAACUCUUAUUCUGGAAUGCUGGGGGCCCAGCUCUUUUCUGUCACUUUGCAGAAGGGGACAAAGGCUAGCAAUUUCUCCCAUGCUCUGCAUAGUCAUGAACGUGCCUCAGGAGUGGGUAACUGACUGCCGCGCUGGGCAUCGAGCCUGUGGGAAGUGGCUAGAGAGAGAGGGUUGCAAUAGUCAUUUCCUGACAGGAACCAGAAGACACGAAGCGUGGGUACGCAGAGCAGAGGCCUGAGAAACUGGGAGCAAAGCGGUUCCUGCCUGUCCUGGAGUCCAGAGAACGUUCUGGAUCACCACUCACAGCACAACUGAAGGAGAUCCUUGGAAGAGGCUCGGGGCGGCUGCCAUGACGCCCCAACUCCUGACCCUGCUUUGCACCGGGCUGUGCACUGGCCAAGGAGGCAGGGAGCCUGACGAGCCCCUUCCCAAGCCCUCCCUCAGGGCCUGGCCCAGCUCGGUGGCGCCUCCCAGGAGCAAUGUAACGCUGCAGUGUCGGAGCCCCACCAAGGAUGUCCACUUCACUCUCAGGAAGGGAAAUAUUCCUUUGCCUUUUGCACAACCACCGGCUUCCACAGAGGGCCUGGCUGAAUUUCUCCUCACUGACCUAAGGACCAGCCAGGCUGGAAAGUACACCUGUGAGGUCCACAGAGGAGGGCUCCCCUCCAUGAAGUCGCCACCCAGUGACGCUGUCCUGCUCCUGGUGACAGGAGAUUUCUCUAAACCUUCCCUGCAAGCCCACCGAAGGGGUGUGGUGACGGCAGGAGACAAUGUGACCCUGCAGUGCCAGAGGCCAGGCUAUGAUUUCAGGCGGGUAAUGUUCGCUCUGCUGAAGGCGGGCGAGGCGGCGCCCAUCCAGACCCAGGUGUCAGUCGGGAAGACGGACUUCUCGCUGUGGACGGUGACAGCCGGGGACUCCGGGAACUACAGCUGUGUGUACUUCCAGACCGAGGCUCCUUUCUGGGCCUCAGAGCCGAGCGAUCCUCUUGAGGUCCGGGUCAGAGAUAGCACUGAAAGGAAAUCUCCCGAGGGGGCGGAAACAGGACUCGGUAAGAGCACGGAGCUUAGUACACUGUCCCCGCGUGGGACGAGGCGUCCUGGUGACCCGCGAGCUGCCCACACCCGGGAAAGUCUUCGUCUGUCUGUCUGUCUCGCAAUGAUGCCUGAACGCUGUGGGAAGGAUCAGGGCGCAGCCCACCUACUCGCUGGCUGGGCCCCCUUGGGAAGGGUGCUUCAGGUCUUGGACGGCCGGCCUCUGCAUCCGGGACAUGGGCGUCACCCUGUGGGUCUGGCGCACACCUGUGAGCGUGAGGGCGCCAGGUGGGCCGUGAUGCGAUCGACGGGGACACACAGGGGACACACAGGCAGGGGGACGCUCUCCUCUCCCAGGUGCCACAGGAGUCAUCCUCGCAGUGGUCUGCUCCCUCCUCACCCUGCUGGGAGCCCUCCUCGUCUGCAAGCACGCCCAGCGGAGGCGGCGGAGGGGGGCAGCUCUCAGCAAGAUGGCCGAACGGUAGAGCUACCGGGAGGAUCCCACUGGCCAACACUCCCCCCUCCGCUGCCUUGACCACUCACUUUCUUACCUGAACCUUCUGUGUGCCCCCAACCAGCCCUGACAACUGUCCCAAGUGUCCCUUCACGUCCUGUCUCCUCCUCACCACCUUCCACUUCUCACUCAUGGGCCACACUGCCCCCAGCCUCCUCUCGUCCUUGGCUCUCAAGACUUUGCUGAGCACCCGAGUGACUUGGGGACCCUGGGGUGGAGUGUAUGAGUGUGGGGGCAGUGGCGGUCUCAGUGGGCACCUCCCCUCCACCUCCCCACAAUGAUCCCAGUGUCUCUCUCCGAUUCCCUUUAUCUCCAAUGCCUCAUCGUUUCUCUUUCAGCUCCUGCUCUCCUAAGGAAUCUGAAAAACUGGGGACAAGCAAUCAGCCUGGGAAAGAAAGCGGUGGUACACCCGCAGCCACACUGAGCUGCCCUCCUGCC